rnacentral:rRNA from 1 species
UACGGAGGGGGCUAGCGUUGUUCGGAAUUACUGGGCGUAAAGCGCACGUAGGCGGCUUUGUAAGUUAGAGGUGAAAGCCCGGGGCUCAACUCCGGAAUUGCCUUUAAGACUGCAUCGCUAGAAUUGUGGAGAGGUAAGUGGAAUUCCGAGUGUAGAGGUGAAAUUCGUAGAUAUUCGGAAGAACACCAGUGGCGAAGGCGGCUAUCUGGACGGUUUCUGACGCUAAGACGCGAAAGCGUGGGGAGCAAACAGG